ACAGAUCGUUCUAGAGUUUGAUCCUGGCUCAGGAUGAACGCUGGCGGCGUGCCUAACACAUGCAAGUCGAACGGGACUAUCUUGAGAUGUUUUCGGACUGAUCUUUAUAGUUUAGUGGCGGACGGGUGAGUAACGCGUGGACAACCUGCCUUUCACAGGGGGAUAGCAGCUGGAAACGGCUGGUAAUACCGCAUACGCUCGUGUCACCGCAUGGUGAUGCGAGGAAAGAUUUAUCGGUGAAAGAUGGAUCCGCGUCUGAUUAGCCAGUUGGCGGGGUAACGGCCCACCAAAGCGACGAUCAGUAGCCGGCCUGAGAGGGCGGACGGCCACAUUGGGACUGAGACACGGCCCAG
rnacentral:rRNA from 1 species